AUGACUCACGGCGGUUGGCAGGGCUCUGACGAGGCUGGCCCCGGCCCGCGCUCCAGCCCGCAGCAGAUGCCUGCCCGGCCCUCCCUUCCCUCGCCGGCCAAACCCGCCCGGAGCCCCGGGGCUGCGGGAGCGCCCUCCGCCUCCGCGGGACCCGAGCGGCCGGGACUCGGCCCGCGCCUCCCGCCCGGCCCGCACCACCCUCGGCUCGCGCGGCCGCCUCUCCCCCCUCCUCCUCCCGCCCCCCGCCGCCUCUGCGGUCCCGGCCGGGCACACUCCGGAAAGUUGCUAGGGCCGCGGAGGCGGGAGGGGAGGAAGGGAGGAGAGAGGCGGAGGCGUGGACCAAGCGGGCAGCAACCGGGCCCGCCAGGGAGCGAGGAGCGUGUGAAACCCGUCAAUCCUGUUUGCCAUUUCCCCGUGGAUUUCCGAGGAGAGGUUCUGCACGAUGCCCCCAGGCAAACGGAGAUGAGAAACAGCUGUGUUUGCAGGACCCGAGCAGUUCUUCUCCCUCGCCGCCCGCCCCGCCCGUUCCCGCCGGAGCUGUGUGUGUGUAGUGUAUCAAAAAAGCAACCUUGGUCGGACUGCAACUGGAAUUGGCAACUCUUUCUGGUGAUCCUCCGACUGUGAAAAACCAAACCUCUUGCUGCCUGGCUCCCUAGGAAUCAAGAAGAGGCACAGACUGAAAAUCAGGGAGGAAAGGAACAAGAUCAAGGAUGAGGAUUAGCAUCUGCAAAUUGAACCCUAUCUAAUUUGCAUGUUUAUUUCUUAGAAUUGUAAUUAAAUUUGUGUAAUAAAUGUUUUCCAUUUCAUUCCUAUGCUUAAAAUUUGGGUGACUGACGUGCAGUUAAGUGAAUUUUUUUUUCUUAAAGCAAAUGUAGUUUAUUCAAUAAAGCAGCAAACAAAUAUUAAACAUAAUUAGAACUAAUCUGCUUUGAAGGUAUUUUUGUUGAACUUUGUACAUUAAACCGCCGCUGCUCCUCAGGCAGCACACGGGCGCCUCCCUCGCCCCCACCCCAGCCCGCCCCUGCCUCCUUCCCUCCUUCCCGCCCUCCCUCCCUCCUCCCUCCCGGUGCCCGGGGACACGCGGGCCCAGCUCCAGCCCGCAGCCCUGACCCCACGCGCUCCCGGGCUCCGGCCCCUUCGCCCUGGGGUUCGGCUGCAGCCGAAGAAUAUAUUCACCCUGCAACCUUCUGAGACGUCUUCUCUCUUUUUAAAAAAUUUGGUUUACUUUUGUUGUUGUUGUGUAUGCGUGUGAUUAAAAAAAAAAAAAAGAUUCUGCGCCUUUCCCACCCUUUGCAAAAGACUUUCUUCUCCUUUGCCACAGCAAACGGAGAUGAGAAACAGCUGUGUUUGCAGGACCCGAGCAGUUCUUCUCCCCUCGCCGCCCGCCCCCGCCCGUUCCCCGCCGGAGCUGUGUGUGUGUAGUGUAUCAAAAAAGCAACCUUGGUCGGACUGCAACUGGAAUUGGCAACUCUUUCUGGGUGGGUGAGCCUCCAGGGAAAACCUCCAGGAAAUAAAUUUUUAAAAAAAGUAAUAAAGGAGGUUGUUCUUGGUCAAGAGAAUAAGCCCUGGAAUCACAUUAUUUUGCAAAUAGUAAUUUUCCUCUAUAUUGGGCUCCACUGGAGUUUGUUUUUUUGAAACAUUAAUUCAUAACUUCUGUCUAGGGACCCUCCAUAGUCGAGAUGGGUCAUUUCAGGUGCAAUGA
ensembl:lncRNA